CAAGAGACCAGCAGCCUGAACUGGCUGGGGCAUCCGGAAGGCUUAGAUCUUGUGGCCAAGAGUUCAGACCGUGGCGAAGUGGAGAGUGACAUGCAGUUGGAUGGCGGUGACUGCGUGGUAUGGAAGAAAAUUCAGCUGAAAUUUGCUAGAAAAUGAGUUGUUUUGGAAAGAGACUGUAGAGAAAGGCAAAUGGAAGAAGAAAGCUUCUGUGCCCCCACAGAUACCGACUGAAAAGUGUUAGCAUGAGCAAAAGUUCCUAUCUAAUAUUAUAUGCUUUCCUUUGCUCCCAGCAUUCCACAAUCACGGGCUACUUCAAUUCUGCCUGCUGAGCUGAUUUAAUAAUCUGGAAGAGGAUUAUUCUCCCCCAUCUGGAAGAGGAUUAUUCUCUAUAAUCCCAGUUAGAGACACAAUGACAUAAACAUCGCUGUCCUGCAACCCUGGUUCCAGUCUGGCAAGCAUUGUAGACCUGGCUGCUGAAGACUGACGGGGCCCAGGGUCCGCUGCCCCCACCGCCAUCACCACCUCGGAACCCAGGGUAACGCUGUCAGUCUUUGCCUUCAUCAACUCCCUAGCCAAGACUCCCUAUCAGGCCCUUACAGGUGCCGCUCUGGCUGGCAGUUACCCAAUUUGGGAAAACGAAAAUACCCUAUCAUGGCUACCUACCUUCACCUACAACUUCUGCCUGUCCACCCCCAGUCUCUUCUUUUUGUGUGAUACAAACUGAUAUCUUUGCCUACCAGCCAACUGGUCAGGAACUUGCACCCUGGUCUUUCAGGCUCCAACCAUCAACAUCCUACCCCCUAACCAAACUAUUCUAAUUUCUGUAGAAGCCUCUAUCUCCUCUUCACCCAUAAGAAAUAAAUGGGCUCUACAUCUCAUCACCCUGCUAACAGGAUUAGGCAUCACUGCUGCACUUGGCACUGGAAUAGCAGGCAUAACCACCUCAAUCACCUCAUACCAAACACUAUUCACAACCCUUUCUAACACCGUAGAAGAUAUGCACACUUCCAUUACCAGUCUCCAACGACAAUUAGACUUCCUCGUGGGAGUCAUCCUUCAAAACUGGAGAGUCCUGGACCUCCUAACCACUGAGAAAGGGGGUACCUGCAUAUACCUCCAGGAAGAAUGCUGUUUCUGUGUUAAUGAAUCUGGCAUUGUUCAUAUCGCAGUUCGUAGGCUUCAUGACAGGGCUGCAGAGCUUUGACAUCAAGUCGCUGACUCCUGGUGGCAAGGAUCAUCCCUUCUAAGAUGGAUACCCUGGGUUGCCCCCUUCCUAGGACCCCUGAUCUUCCUCUUCCUGUUACUAAUGAUUGGGCCAUGCAUAUUUAACCUUGUAUCCCGCUUCAUUUCCCAAAGGCUGAAUUGUUUUAUCCAGGCAAGCAUGCAAAAACACAUUGAUAAUAUAUUUCACCUUUGCCACGUCUAAUACCAGAGCCUACGAGGAAACCAUUCGGAAGCUCCAGAACCCAGGCCCUAAUCACAACGCCCCUAUCCAGCAGGAAGCAGCCAGAUGAUCAACGACGCCCUUUUUCCUUUUUAUACUAAAGUAAGAAAUAAGAAUGUUAGCCCAAACUGCACUAUUUUGCAGACCCCUACCAUUUUACAAACUGGUCAGAGUGGAAAAUUCCACCAGGGCCUGAGCUGUGAGAAACAUCCUGUCAGGCAGGUCCCAGGCCUAACCCCUGGCUGCACUAAAUUCCUUCAUUAUCAGCAGCCAAACACACCGCCCCCACCCCAUUUUCACAACAAUCCCAGACCUCUCCUGCCCGGGACUGUAACUGGUCCAGCCUGUAAGCGGGAAGGGGGCUCUGGCACUAGCUGGUACCCCCUCUCCGCAGGUCUUUCUC
ensembl:lncRNA LINC01278 long intergenic non-protein coding RNA 1278